AAGAUUGGCCCCGAAGUUUGUUGCGUAGCCACCCUGAGAUCCUGAGAUCUCGGGCGACUUGCUCGAUCCUCGUUUCUGAUCUGCCACGCGGAAAAUAAGGUUCAGUUCUUGGAGCUCCGAGUAGCGAUGAGAUCGAGUGUCUCGCGAUAAAGUUGAUCAUCUUGAGAAAGUUAUUCAUAAAUUGCGCGAUUAAUUUUAAUUAUUUGACAGGUUUUUUCGGUUUCAUUGUUAAAAUUGUUAUCGAGAAAAAUGAAAGUGUAAGGAUAUUUUGACAGAUUAGACCAUGAUAUCGCGGAUCGAAUUAUAUUUUCGACGUUGGUACGAGUUUGAUGAUCAGUGGCGAUAGAUAUAUUAUUUUCAAAGUUUUUGAAUUUGAUAAGCGUAGAAUACGGUUCCAUGAAAUUAAUUCGAGCGAAGAUGAGUUUGAUUUUUCGUUAUUAAAUAACGAAAUUAUUUCUAUUCAAUAAAAAAUUGAUGAUAGAGAGAAAAUAGUGAUGAAAAUACAGAUAUAAUGUAAGAAGAAUAUAGAAUGGAUGAUAAAUAAGAAUAAUAAAUGUGAGAGCACGUUAUUGGGAUCGUAAGUUUGCUCUCGAUAAAAUAAGAAAGAUGAAAGACAUUAUUUUAUCGCGAUACUUGGCAUGGCAAACCGAGGAUACAUCUUGAUAAUUAUGUUAUUAUUAAAAUAUCACAUGGAACAACAAUAUAGACUUUAAUAUUCGACAAAUUUUCUCUCUUUACGUGUAAAGAUAUAUAAAAUAUUAGAAUAUAAAAAUUUUAUACAUUAA